GAUAUAGAUUUCAAUGGGGAAUAUUAACCCACUCUGCGCAACAAGUGAAAGAGUGAGAGCACCGAGAGAUAAACAAAGUAUACAGUGGCCAACUGCUGAGGAAAAAGCAGCAUUAAAUGCAAAACAACAGUCAACAACAAGUCUGUACUAUAUCAGUUGAUCGGUUAUAAUAAUUGUUUAUGUUGAUCGGUUAGUCCAGUCUAAAGCGGGGAUUUUUUAAAAUCUAACAUCAUCAUGAAAAUAUUAAAAUAACAUAUUGAAUUUCAGUGUUAUUUCUGGAUCAUAUUGCAUUAAAAGUGAAGCGUAGCGUGCUUUUCUCGUAGGUCAUGUUUAUAAAGCCUAGGUGAAGAUUUAGAGCUGUAAUUUUACUGGAGAUUGAUCAAGCAGAUUAUGAGAGAGAAAGUCAGUGAACCAUUUCUGCAGCGUUCAAUACAUCCACAGAUGCAGCGCUCUGACCGUGAGUUAAAUUGUGCAAUAAGGCCUAGAAUACGGCAGAGAAAUGUUGCCACUCAAGACACUGAUCAAAGAUUUGGACGGAUACACUAUGAAACUAUAAUUGCCCCAAAAGGACAAGCUCUGAAUACAGAAAGGGGAUACAGUGAUAUGGGCAGAGAUAAUGACAAUACAAAACAUUUUGGGGAAUCUGGAAGACAUGCUACAAGUAGUAUAAGGAAGUUGUCUCGUACAAGAUCCCCAAGAAGGCAUUCAAGAAAGAGUACUCCAAUAGAAGUACAAGAUGAAAAUCACAAAUGGAUAUUGAGAUCAAAGGAUAAACACACAGGAUGUUCCCGACAACAGCAACAACAAAAUAUUCCUCAAUUCAUCCAAGAUAAACCGAAGCAGAGCAGGUCGCCAUUGAUGAACAAUACAACAAUUCUCAAUGCAUCAUCUCUCUCUGAAGAUGAUGAAAACCAGAUUCAGCGACAAUCAAGUUACCAUGGUAACCAAUUAGGUGUAUAUAAGAGGAGCAAAGCUGAAACUCCAGUAUUAGAAACCAUGUCUUGGGAUUACGCAUCAGCCAAUGACAUGUCCUCAGGGACAGUAAGAUAUUUAAAUCAACAGAAAGAUGAUUCGUAUUUGUUACAUGGAUCAUCAUUUGGAGAUAAUUUUUAUGGAAAUCAGAGGACUAGUACAUUGAAUUCUGGAAAUGGAUACUUCGAAAAAAUGCCAAAUUCCCAAAUGGGAAACAGUUCAUAUAAUAGUUAUAAUACUCAAAUAGCACCCUCAUGCAAUGAUGUAAACAAUUCGGGGGUAUACUCAACAGACUCAAAUAACUCAUCGUUAGAGCUGAGUAAGCAUCGGAUAAGACUGCAGGAAAUUGACAGUCAGCUCUUGGAACUAGACAAGCAGCUAACAGAUUGUAACAAAAGUAAAACAAGCACAAAGACUUUAGGUUCUCAUUACACGUCACGUCAGAAUCACACAAGCCAAAAUGGCGAUGGUGAUCACUCUUUGACCACAUACAAUGAUCAGAGUCUUCAUACAUCACAUCUAAAUGAACAUAGACUUGCUCAGUCCCUACCUUUACAAACUUAUGAAUAUACUCAGUCUAGAACUGCAUACAUGCCAAAUAUGGAUAAUUCAAAUCAGGUGCCACAAAUUAUGAGCGUUGAUGAUUUAAAGGAAUCAACUGGGUGUCAGACAAGCCCAGAUAUAUGCAAGACAUCAAAGAAUGCUCAGACCUCACCCAUUAGACAACUCAGCUCAAGCACACUCAGGUCAUAUGACCUUGACAUUGGUGCAAAAUCUAUGGGGAGGACACCUUUUAAAUCAGGGAAUAUGGACAAGCAAAGUAAUUCUAGAAUGAGACUCGCAGAAAUACAAUACAAUGAACCCAAACAGAACUAUGAUCAAACGCUCAAAUCAGGAACCUCUUUAGUAAAAGGAAAUCCUGUAACAGCUGUAGGGACAUAUCCAGCAACAUCUACAGGAGUUUAUCCACUAACAGCUGCAACUAAAUAUGAUUCGGUGAGUGGAAACCCUGCCACCCAUGAUCUUUACCCAGCACCUAAUAGUUACCCAUACACAAGUAGUGACAGUGAAGAUGAUGAUUUGGAUUCAUUGCUCAAUAGAUCACUUGAACUGCAAUCCCAUAUUAAAGUAUCACAUGAUGAAACUGAGGCUUAUGAACCUUUGUCACCCACUGGGAAAAAGUAUCUUGGAAUGUAUUCUGGGAGACGGGUUUCCCGAAGAACUAGGGCACACUCCUCAGAGCAUUACAUGGCUAGCUCACCUGUAGGCCCUAGAACAUACUCUCCCAACUUCACACGUACACAGUCUCACUCCAUUGACCAGAUGGUGGGUCAACUUGACCUUGACAACAGCCUCUUCACCAUCCAGUCUAUCAAGGCCAAUAUGGAGGACUCUUAUACAAUACAACUUGAUGAUUCAAACUCUUCAAACCAUUUCACAAGCCCACAAAGAUAUCACAAGAAGUAUGAUGAUAUUCCCAGUAGAGAUGAUAACUACCUGGAAUCAAAAUACAAGAGAAGCCCUGGUAUGGAGAAAAUGUCCUCAGCUUUGUGGGCCAUGAGACUAAUUGAGCUCCUACACAAUGCUGACCCACUCACAAGACAGAAUAUCAUACUCAAGGCUCGCUGGUUCAGGAGGUGGCUUACCAAUGUGAGAUGCAUAAGGACAGACAGACUUCACCAUGAACACAUGCAGAAUAUGGCGAAGGAGGUGCGUCGUCAGCAGUUACUUGCUCAUUAUUUCUACCUCUGGAGGGCUAAGGCUAGGCGAACUAGAGUCCUCGAAGCCCUUGCCCUCUAUAGGCUCAAUGCCCUUAGGAAGGGCUUUGAUGGCUUGAAGUGGGCUGUACAGAAAACAAAGGCAUUGUAUGAGAGUUUGGAUCAAGAAAGACAACAUGUUCUAAAAGAGAAAUUUUUUUACAUGUGGAAGGAGAAAACAGAGAAACGUCAUCAAGUUAUCCUGAGGUCAACAUUUGAUAGGUGGCAGCACUUUAAGUUAGCGAUGCAGCGAGAACGAUUGCUUGAAGGUGCAGCCAACAAAUUAGUGUUGAGCAGGGCGUACUGUCAGUGGAAGGACUUGUACAAAACACAACAGAAAUACAGCAUGGCUGCUCUGCAUCACAAAGUGUCUAUGUUGACAAAGGGGUGGCAGGCCUGGAGGGCGUACACAAUGCAAGCCAUUGUGCACAAACGACAGAAAGAAGUGGCCAGAGUCAACUAUAUAAAUAACCUGACCACAAAAACAUUCUGCCAAAUGAAAACUGUAUUUGAAAAGCAUCAAAUAGCCAAAGAGCAUUGCAGGUGUCAGCUUUUGCAUAGAGUGUUGCUGUCAUGGAAACAGAAUGUUUGGAUCAGUAAGGCUGAGAGAGUACGGGAUCAUAGUCGUAGUAUAGAGUUUAGAAAGAAGGCGCUGUUACAGUCAUGCUGGGUGCAAUGGUCACAUAGGUUACUAAUGCAACGGGCUGAAAACCAUGCCAAACACAUAACAUUAUCGAAAGCAUUGGAGAUGUGGGUUUUAAGAUGGCGUCGCAAUACAAUUCAAAGACAACGUCAGGAAGCUCAGCUCUGUUUGCGACUGAAGCAGGGAGCAUUAGCAACUUGGAACCACUACGUGCAAGACAGGAGAACUGCCAGGGAAAGGGGGAUUUGUCUUUUAAAGCGAGCACAUAUCAGAGGACUUCUCCGUAGAUGGUCUGAGUAUACCAAAAUUAGGAACAUACAAAGAUGUAAGAUGGAGGAAUUUCAGGCUAAAAUGAGACAGAGGCAGAAAUCUGUUGCCCUGGCGACAUGGGUGAGCCACCUGCAUCUCCUCAUGGACAGACAGAAGGCCCAGCAAUAUUGGUCAAUGGCUUGUGCAAGGAAAGCUGCCCAUCGAUGGCACACUGUUGUCCAUAUAAGGAGACUUAAUGAUUUGCUAGUUUCCACCCAGCCUCAUAGAGAUACAAAUACACUAAGAGUGUACUUUGGUAAAUGGUUGUCAGCGAAACACCAGUGUGAGAGACAAUACCAGAGAGCCAUUGAUGCUGAACGUGGCAUGCAAUGUACAACCAUGCGUAACAUCUUCACGAAAUGGAGGAUUCAGACCCAACAGGCCCUUACCAUUAAACCUAUUAGAACCAGGGUCAAUAGGAAACUUACUGCUAGGGUGUUUGAUGCCUGGAGAGAGGUGCACACAAGGAAGCAGAGACUCCAGAAAUUGGCUGAGGAACAUCAGAAUCAAACCACCAGGAAUAUCUUCUUCAUCUGGAGAGAGAAGUAUCAAAUGAAGCAAAAAGAAAGAAAAGUUGCAAUAGCUAUAGUUCGAGGAUGUGCCACUAGGUGUCUUUAUGCAUGGAAAAGUGUUGUCGAAAGGAGGCAUAUGUGUGAGGACUUCAAGGCUCAUAGUUUAUCUUUGGUCCUCAAGAGGGCGUUCUCUGUCUGGCGCAAUAGAUUAGCAUACAAGGAAAUGGUGAAAUUUGAACUGGAAGCAAAAAAGACGUAUCGGUUCAAUUUGAUGCACAAGUACUUCAAUAGGUGGCGAGCAAAUGCAAAUACAGUGAAAGUAGAAGUCCGCGAAUUCUUGGAUCGUCUUGAUAGAGCUAAGAAUGAGCACCUUGUGCACUCAACAUUUGAAACUUGGAAACGACAACUUGUUGGCUCUAGAAUAGCUAGUGAGCACCAGCGGGUUGUUGCCAGCAGGAGGCUUAGAGACAUCAUCCAAUCGUGGCACCAAUACACAAGAGCCAUGUACAGUGACUCAGUUCAGACAUUCUCUUCAGCUUUGUGCAAUGCAUCACUUCAACUCACACCAUCUAAGUCAUCGGAGAACUCCCAUUUAUCAGACAGGUCGCAUAUGACACUGGUGACACAGAUUGAAAAGUCCCAGUAUUCCCCUGCCUCUACCAUAGCGCCAUCUGCUUCUUCUCCUACCAACAGUGAGGAAUCAUCGAUUUCGCAUAUAACAAGUGUCAGUAGUAGUGGCUUCCAUAGUAACGGCUUCCAGAGCAAUACUGACAGAAGGUUCUCCAGCAAUGGGAGUCAUGGUAUCCUAGCCCAACACUCGAACGGAGGCAGUAGUGGAAUUGACAGUAUGCAUGCUCCCUCCCCGAUCCAUGGUUCUUUUAGCUCCUUGACCAAACACAAUUUCUACCCCCUUGACAGACUGAGCCCCCUCAGUGACUACGCAGCAGAGAAUGACACAUAUAGCAAUGUAUUCUCCACACCUCGAUCAACUAACUCAAACAAAUCACUUUCCUUGGGCUGUCGACAGAGCCUGGACCGUAGACUAAGCUAUGAAAGGUCAUAUGCCCUGGAGAAGGUCUGUUUGGAGACCGAGAAGCUGUCACUGGGCAGCAGUAGUUUCUCGGAUCCUUUCUUGAUCAACAUAGAGAACAACAACAAGAAUGUCAAGAAUAUAAUGAUCUACACAAUCAAUAGAUGGUGUAAUUGGCCCGUGAGUGCCACCUUUUAUCAGUGGUUGGAGUAUGUAAGAUGGCGCAGAGAUAUGAGACUGAUGAGAGAGGACUUUGAGGAACAGAGGAAAGUGACCUACUUGGCAAAGACUUUAAGACAAUGGAAAUACCAAUACAAAGCCUGUGUCCUGGCAAGAGAACACAGGAACACUGUAUUGCUAAAGAAGGGUCUAGAUGGGUUGAGGCAAUAUUUAGCCUGGAGGCAAAUGAAGACACAUGACACACUGAAAGCCAUAGACCAGCACAGAUAUUUUACUCUCACUACAACAUUCUACACCUGGAAACAGAAGUUGGCAGAGAAAGAGAAGUGCGGGAGAGUGUUAGAUGUGUGGCAACAUAUCACAUCAUUCAACACCAACAUCACAAAGCUGGGGGAUCACUUCCAGCAGCAGUUGAACAUAAAGACAAUGAGGCAAUGCUGGCAUGCCUGGAUUAUGAGGUCUACUCAGAUGUCUGAGGUGAAGCGCUAUUACAUACAUACUCUUCGUAAGCGAAUCUUCCAAGCAUGGUCUACAUAUGUAGCUGAACGAGUUCAGAGAAGGGAGCAGGCUAGAGACUUUAUGGAGAGGUCAACUAAACAAAGGAUGUUGAAUUUAUGGCGACGUAGACUUUCUCAGAAGUGUCAGGUUGAUGUCAUGUUUGUGGAAUCAUGGCGAAAUCGUAUGUCUGAUAUUUUACAAAGAUGGCGCUACUGGUCUGCAGAAUGCAAGGCACGACGUAAAGUUGGUGAGGUGCUGCGGUUGAAGUUUGACAUGCGGUCCCUAGCCUUAGGCUUCCAACUUUGGAGACAAGAAGCUCAUAAAUUACAGCGACUCAGACAAAUAUAUGAACAGAAUUUACUUGCAAGAUGUCUCAGGGGAUGGAGAAACACUGUUCUUGAAGAUAAGGAAAAUGAGAUGAAACUGCAAUUGUUCCACCGACAUCAUAACUCUAGACGUCUAGCAGGUGCAUUCUGUCAUUGGUUCCAUGUGUAUGCUACACAGAAACAGGCCAGAGAUCACCAUGAUGCAUUGUUGCAGCAACAAGUUGCUCAGAUUGCCACCUAUUGGCAUCAGAAGACACUAGCCUCUCGAGCUGUCCGAUUCCAUAAUGCUUUGUUAAAAACAAAGGUGUUCUGUAUAUGGCAAGCAGCACUUAAUGAACAACGCAAUCUGAGAAUCCUUGUGCUUAAAAUGGGUAACCUAUGGCGUGAGAAAACAGAGCUAUGUAAGGUUCAGAGGCUGGAAGCAGAUGAGUUCAGGAAAAUACAGGAAACUAUGGCAACUAAACGACUGUUUAAAAUGUGGUGCAAUAAUACUAAGAAAGUUGAAGAUGCCAAACAUCAUUUUCAAGAUCAGAUUAUUUCAAAGUGCUUCAGAGGCUGGAGAGACUUUACAUUGAGGAAACACACGCUGAAAGAGAAACAAAAAGAAUUGUUGAAGCAGCGACAUCUUAAACAGCUCUCAGUGUCGUAUGGAAUCUGGAAGAACGAAUAUCUCCUAGCCGAGAGACGUGAAACUUUGCUGCGAGGCCAUCUUUUGAUGAGGUCAAAGGUGAAUGUUCAGGUCAAGUUCACUGCCUGGCGAGACUGUUGUCAUGACACCAAAGCAACAAACCACCACAAUAGACAAUUGGUGGGGAAGGUGCUGAGGGCUUGGUGCAUCUGGACUAGAAAUCAAUAUGACAGAAAGAUGCGUCAAGCUGCAUUGGAACGAGCCCUGAAUGAGUGUACAAUAAGGACAGCUCUACAACAAUGGAAACAUGAAUACAACCUGCGACAACUGGUCAAUAAACAUUACCAGAGCACACUGCAGACCAGAGUGAUUCAAUUAUGGCAUGGUUUCAUUGUGAAAAAGAAGAAACUGAAUCUGCUCAGAAAUGUUUGUAUUGCAAAACAUGAUCAGUCCCUCAUGAAACAAGCUCUAACAACCUGGAAGUCAAAACAUGAAAUCUGCAUAGUUCACGCUGGCUUAUCCCAAGAAAUUAAACAUCGUCAUAAUAAAAGAUUGAUAUCCAAAUAUUUCAUCACAUGGAGAGAGCACUACAGAGAGAACCUCGCUGUGAAACACUAUAGCAAGGUUGUGCUGGCUAGAAUGUUCAACGCGUGGUGUGUGUAUCUGAAAGAUUUGAAAGAAACUAGAAGAAUGGACCAUGACCUGGCUGAGUUAGCACAACAUCAUUAUGAACAAAAACAGUGCAAACUAGUGCUUCAGGCUUGGUACAAUGAGGUUCUCGUGACAAGGCAGCAAGAGAAAAGACAACAGAAGCUGAUGCUGAAGUAUGGCACUCUCUGGAAGAGGAGGGUUGAUAUGGCCCACACUGCACGUCAAGUGUAUGUUUAUAAAGUAUACCGUAAAAUUUGGCGGAUCUGGCGACAUAUAUUCAUCCAGCACAAGACUGUUGCUCACAUGACUCUCCAGGAGAACAAAGAGCUCAUUUCCACCAUUUUCAACAAAUGGCGCCACCUAGCUUCCAUAGAACAUGUCUCUAAAAAUGUCCAGGAUCAGCGAUGUGCCGAUGAACUAAGACUCAGGUUCAAUUAUUGGAUGGAUCAGAUGAGCAGUUAUGAUAAUCUGAAUGGAACAAACUCAACUGGAAUCUCAAUAUCUGUGAUGUCAGACCAAUCACACUAUGGUAACCCUUGAGAAUGGCACAACUGUUUUCAUUGGAUCAAGAGAGAGUUUUGAUCAGGUGUUUCUUUCUGACUUGUGACUUAGAUCCCAAAAAAUGUUGGAAAUUGGAAUAAUAUGAUAAUGGAACAAGCAUUGAUGUGAACUCUAUUAUAUUAUAUUGUGAUAGAGAACUUCGAAAAUGAAGAGUUGAAAAUACACAGGAGCAAUAUUUGAAAGAAGAAUGUACUAAAUGCCAACACAAUAUAUUCGUAUGGUUAAGAGUUGAAAAAUAGAAAAUAGGUCUCAGAUUUCUUGCUGUUUUUCCAUACAGUAUUAAUGUCUGCAAGUAUGCAGUUCAGAGAAUAGGUUAUACAUGUAAAUGAUGAGACUCUGAAUUUCAUAUUAUAUUCCAUUAAUACUUCCUGGAGUUUGGGAUUAUUAGUACUUUAAGAAUGAAUGGUGCCCUAUUUUAAUGGCAAGUUUUUUCUAAUUAGCCCCAAUGUUUGACUUCAUGUUUUCAUAAUGCAAACGGGUCGAGCUAAAGUUAUAAGUGCAGCUGGUCAAAAUGGCAUUACGAACUAGU
rnacentral:misc_RNA from 1 species